rnacentral:rRNA from 1 species
GUGGGGAAUAUUGGGCAAUGGGCGCAAGCCUGACCCAGCAACGCCGCGUGAAGGAAGAAGGCUUUCGGGUUGUAAACUUCUUUUAUCAGGGACGAAGGAUGUGACGGUACCUGAUGAAUAAGCCACGGCUAACUACGUGCCAGCAGCCGCGGUAAUACGUAGGUGGCGAGCGUUGUCCGGAUUUACUGGGUGUAAAGGGCGCGUAGGCGGGAUAGCAAGUCAGGUGUGAAAUCUAUGGGCUCAACCCAUAAACUGCACUUGAAACUGUUGUUCUUGAGUGUCGGAGAGGUAGAUGGAAUUCCUAGUGUAGCGGUGAAAUGCGUAGAUAUUAGGAGGAACACCAGUGGCGAAGGCGAUCUACUGGACGAUAACUGACGCUGAGGCGCGAAAGCGUGGGGAGCAAACAGG